AACAGGAUUCCUUUAGUAAUGGCGAAUGAAGAAGGAUUAGCUCAACAUGAAAAUUGGGGCUUCUGGCCUUGAAUUGUAGUUUGAAGAUGCAUUUGCCAAUGGACAUGAUAAUGAAAGCCUUUUGGGAAAAAGCAUCAACGAGGGUGAGAAUCCUUCUUGACAUUUCAAUUGUCCAUGUACGGUGUGCAUUGAAGAUUCACGUUCCUUGGGAUUUGAACGCAAACUUGUUGGUAAAUUUCAUUUAAAGCUAAAUAUUGGUUUGAGACCGAUAGAAAACAAGUACCAUGAGGGAAAAGUGAAAAGGACUUUGAAAAGAAAGUUAAAAGUGCUUGAAAUUGCUGAAGAGGAAGCGGGUGUAUUUCAAACACAAUUUUCAAGAUUGUUGUGCAUAUCUUUGAUUUCUUGUUGUCUUGACUUCAUCGCAGCAGCAAGACCUAUUAGUGAAUGUACAAUGUUGCUUGUGUUUUGUGCCUUCAUCGAUUUACAGCUAUAGAAACAACCUAAACAUGACUAUUUGCUCUUGUGCAAAUGAACGUUUGGGUGCAGAUUUAGCUUGUGAAUCGCCUUGCUUCUUGUUGUGUUGAUACCUCGGUGUCCACAACAUGAAAAUGAUGGCCAAAGAAAUACAUUCGGCCCGUCUUGAAACACGGACCAAGGAGUUUAACACAUGUGCAAGUUUGGUGUGUGAUGCUUCUUUGCGCAAUGAAAAUGAUAUUUGGUAUAUUCUUGCACCAAUAACCAACCGCUCAAUUGUGAGAGGUUUGAGUAUGAGCAUAUUUGUUAAGACCCGAAAGAUGGUGAACUAUGCCUGGGAAGGGUAAAUUCAGGGGAAACUCUGAUGGAGGCUCGUAGCGAUACUGACGUGCAAAUCGUUCGUCAUAC
rnacentral:rRNA from 1 species